UAAGGAAUCUUCCACAAUGGGGGCAACCCUGAUGGAGCAAUGCCGCGUGCAGGAUGAAGCGUUUCGGCGUGUAAACUGCUUUUAUCACCGAAGAUUAUGACGGUAGGUGAAGAAUAAGGACCGGCUAACUACGUGCCAGCAGCCGCGGUAAUACGUAGGGUCCAAGCGUUAUCCGGAAUUACUGGGCGUAAAGCGUCUGUAGGCGGUUUUUCAAGUCGGGUGCGAAAUCUUGUGGCUCAACCAUAUAGAUGUUGCCCGAAACUGAAAGACUAGAGGUAGGUAGAGGCAAGUGGAACUUGCGGUGUAGGAGUGACAUCCGUAGAUAUCGCAAAGAACACCAAUGGCGAAGGCAGCUUGCUGGGCCUUACCUGACGCUCAGAGACGAAAGCGUGGGGAGCGAACGGG
rnacentral:rRNA from 1 species